rnacentral:lncRNA from 1 species
GGCCUUCCCUCGUGUACCGGUUUGGUACGAAAAAUCUUUAUUUACUAUUAUAAUUUAAAAUAAAGUAACGGUUAUCAACACAAUUUAGCCCUACAUGAGCCCACAAUAUGCCUGCUCCCUCACAGCUACCACAACCUACUAUAAUAGGAGAUAAUAGAUAAUAACAAGAAAUUAGUAUCAUUGUUUGCUUAAUUCAUUGUUCAUUUAGGGAUGGCAACCCAAUC